CGCUGAGGGAAGGCGCAGGGUGCUGAGGUGAAAAAGGAGCGGGGUGAAUACGGUCCACAUAGGAUUUAACGGCUAGAAGAAAUGUGGCACACAGCGAGAGAAAGCUUGUUGGGAUGCCCAUGUUCCUAUGAGCUUGGACGAAUGCUUUCUAGUAGUCUGUGACCUUACAGUGAUGGAUUCAGAGAUGUGAUUUAGAGCAUUCUGUGCACCCGCUUCUAGCUGACGCAUGCUAUGCACAUACCAGGAUCCACAUUAUUGAUGAUUUUGAGGAAAAAUCAAGGCCCCCAUGUACAGGUAAGAGCUAUACCCCACUGAAAAUAAGCACAGAAGACUACUCAGCAUGUAACUGUGAGUGUCCAUGCUAGGGUGUGUUUGGCCAGCCAUGCUAAAUGCAUCCAAACCCCAGUGCCCACACUCCUGCUGGCACUGCUCCAUCUCCCAUUUAUUAUAGCUCUGCCUCUUUCCCUCUAAUAGAUUCUGGCAGAUUCUCCAGUCCCACUAUUUCUAAUCCUGAC
rnacentral:lncRNA from 1 species